rnacentral:piRNA from 1 species
AUUGGACAUGGUACUACCGGAGGA